rnacentral:rRNA from 1 species
UACGUAGGGGGCAAGCGUUGUCCGGAUUUAUUGGGCGUAAAGAGCGUGUAGGCGGCUUUACAGGUCCGUUGUGAAAACUCGAGGCUCAACCUCGAGACGCCGGUGGAAACCGUAAGGCUAGAGUCCGGAAGAGGAGAGUGGAAUUCCUGGUGUAGCGGUGAAAUGCGCAGAUAUCAGGAGGAACACCGGUGGUGUAGACGGCUCUCUGGACCGUAACUGACGCUGAGACACGAAAGCGUGGGGAGCAAACAGG